rfam:Medicago truncatula strain A17 chromosome 1, whole genome shotgun sequence.
UGGAGAAGGGGAGCACGUGCAAAAGAUAUUGAUAUGCAUUAUGAGAGAAUGAAUCAGAAAGAGGAUUUGCACGUGCCCUGCUUCUCCAAC